UGAUUGUUUGGACGAGGUGGCGGUGGAGGAUAACACACAGUUAGGUUUCAGUGUUGCCGAACAUGAAUUUGGAAUUUCGCCUUUGAUGACAGUGGAGGAAAUGUCUUCAGUUGGAGAGCCAGACUCUCUGUCCAUGGUGAUGUACCUCAGCCAGUUCUAUCACCUGCUCAAGGAAACUGAACCCACUGAAGGAUGUCUUUCUCAGAGUGCAGACGUUCGAGCUGCUCUCAUCACACCAGCGUCCCUGCUCAGCAGAUUGGGACACUGUCCCUCCA